rnacentral:rRNA from 1 species
GAUGAACGCUGGCGGCGUGCCUAAUACAUGCAAGUCGAGCGAACAGACGAGGAGCUUGCUCCUCUGACGUUAGCGGCGGACGGGUGAGUAACACGUGGAUAACCUACCUAUAAGACUGGGAUAACUUCGGGAAACCGGAGCUAAUACCGGAUAAUAUAUUGAACCGCAUGGUUCAAUAGUGAAAGACGGUUUUGCUGUCACUUAUCGAUGGAUCCGCGCCGCAUUAGCUAGUUGGUAAGGUAACGGCUUACCAAGGCAACGAUGCGUAGCCGACCUGGGAGGGUGAUCGGCCACACUGGAACUGAGACACGGUCCAGACUCCUACGGGAGGCAGCAGUAGGGAAUCUUCCGCAAUGGGCGAAAGCCUGACGGAGCAACGCCGCGUGAGUGAUGAAGGUCUUCGGAUCGUAAAACUCUGUUAUUAGGGAAGAACAAAUGUGUAAGUAACUAUGCACGUCUUGACGGUACCUAAUCAGAAAGCCACGGCUAACUACGUG